AGCUUAUAAUGCAGAUUUUUAUGUAAGCUUAUAGUGCAGAUUUUAAUUAAGCUUGUAAUGCAGAUUUUAAUUAAGCUUAAAGUGCAGAUUAACGUUUUCUACUUCGCGCCGGCCGCAAAUCUGCCACCGGGAAGCCUCAACAAGAACAAGA